GAGAUUUUUUUGGGGGGGUGUGAGAGAGUGAGGAGGGGACGGCGCAGCACAGGAGGAUAGAUAGAGGGGACGGCGCGAGACGAGGUGCACAGGCUGGGGCCGAGGACAGAAGACUAGAGAUGGAUCCCAGCUGCAAGGCAGCAGACGCUCGCUGCCGGUGGGGGGAGGAAACGGCUUCGCGGUGGUAAGGAGACGAACCCACAGGAUGGCGUGUUGCUCGUGGAGGAUGUCUCUCUCCCUGCUCUCUCUUCCUAUUGCCAUGAUGGUGUGAUGGUGCUUCCUCAGCUCUGCGUGGCUGUAGCUGAGCACACUGGGACUCCAGUGUUUCUUAGGAACUGAUUGGUGCAUGGCAGUAGUCGCAUGAUGCUUCCUAACUGAGCUCCACCAACUUCAAACCAAUGAAUUCCUCCAGCACAAUGUCCAAAACUGUUGAGAGAAUGUGUUGAUGUAAGAGCCCGUCGUUAAGGACGACAAACGACUUUUCGCUGAGUGAUUUCACUGUUGUUCUCAUACGCACCAAAUCCCAUGAAGAGACCCAAACCAACAAUGUAUUGAUCCUACUCAGGUAUUGUCUCUGCAUAUGCACCUUUUUUUUCUUCUUCUAUUUUUUAGAAUAUCAUUUAAUGUUAACUCAGUAGGGAAGGUUUAUCUUAUGUAUUGUCCAUAACAUAUACAUGAUGUAGUGUUGGCUUGCCAAAAGCUCAGCAUCAGGAUGUUAACCCUCAGUCCUGAGUCCGCACGCUCCAUACAGAGUCGGGACGCCACUGCAGACACUCCACUCUCUGUGUCCCUGUCCUGUCCCCACUCGCACGCUGCCAUGGGACACACAGACACCAACACGUGCACUUUGGUUUGUGGCUGCAACUCUUCAUGAUGAUAAUAAAGUUCAAGUCUCCCACCUA